rnacentral:rRNA from 1 species
UACGUAGGGUGCAAGCGUUAAUCGGAAUUACUGGGCGUAAAGGGCGCGUAGGCGGCCUUCUAAGUCGAACGUGAAAUCCCUGGGCUCAACCCAGGAACUGCGUCCGAUACUGGAAGGCUUGAAUCCGGGAGAGGGAUGCGGAAUUCCAGGUGUAGCGGUGAAAUGCGUAGAUAUCGGGAGGAACAUCAGUGGCGAAGGCGGCCCUCUGGUCCAGUACUGGACACUCAAGUGCGAAAGCGUGGGGAGCAAACAGGG